CAUAGUCUAAAACUAUACUAUUUACAAUAAUUAGUACUAACUAGUACUAAACAGAGAAAUAAGAAAAAGAAAGAGAGAGAAAAAAAUAUAGAACAGCGGUAGGCCGGUCGGCCAGGGCAACACAUGCGCUCGCUUGGACAUCCUUUGGCUGGCCAAAACACAACACGUGUGUGGGCCUGGACAGCACACCAACGUGAGAGAGAGGGGUAGCAUGCACACUACGUGAGAGAGAGAGGGAUAUGCCACCGAAUCAAGGCAUAUUCGAUUGGCCACCGCAUGCAUGCAGGAGAUAAAAGNGGAGAUCAGAUCUGGCAUUAGCCAGGAACCGCACCACACCUCCCAUUAUCUCUUUCUCCACCUUGUCUCUCCUUCUCCACCACGCCUCUCCUUCCCCACCAUGCCACAGAGCCAUGGAAGAGCCAGCCAGCGACGGGCGGAGUGAGGGCCGCCGACUCGCUCCAUAACUCCGGCUAUCACCGGCGCCCCCAGGAGGGCCCUUCCUCGUCCGAAGAGGAGGCGACGACGACGAGGUCCUGGCGGGCGGCGCCAAGGCCGAGACUCGUCGAAGCCCACGAGCCGGCGUGGCGGCCGAGACGACGGUCGAUGGCAGCGACAGCGCGCCCGAAGAGGCGCCCGAAGCGCCGUUCCGCGCGACUGCCCGAAUCCGUGGCCACCUCCUGCUGUGGUGAGGCCUCCAUCCCGGCUCCGAGGCGCACGACGCCGGAGGCGCACUACGCCGGAGGCGCCGGUUGGCGCGGAGAUGAACGCGAGGGCCUCCUCCGC
rnacentral:lncRNA from 1 species